AAAAACAGAGAAUGACCGCACUCAGGGACUUGUAAAUAUCACUAAAACUUAACUUUUAAUGUUCAAAAUAAAUCAAAUCAAUUUAUUUGAUUUAUUUUGAACAUUAAAAGUUAAGUGUUAGUGAUAUUUACAAGUCCCUGAGUGCGGUCAUUCUCUGUUUUU